rnacentral:snRNA from 16 species
AUACCUUUCUCGGCCUUUUGGCUAAGAUCUAGUGUAGUAUAUGUUCUUAUCAGUUUAAUAUCUGAUAUGUGGGCCAUGUGCCCACAACGAUAUUAAAUUUAUUUUUUAUGGGGGAGGGCCCACCACAGUAGCUUGCUGCUGGGGUCCACACGCCUCGCCAGGGCGUUGCACUGCUGCCUUGGCCUGGCGCACCCCAA